GGGCCCAUAAUAGAAAAGGCCUCUACAAGACAUUUUGUGGCGGCACCAUCAUCGAAGAAAGAAAAAUUAUCUCCGCCGCACACUGUUUCCAUUCUACAUAUGCAAGCAAUUGCUUCAAUAGAGGGCAGGCCCCGAAAAAGAAAAUUAUGAAUUAUUUUGCCAUAGCAGGGACUCUUCAAAACACAGAUUACUAUCAAAGAGAUGAUAGCGUGGAACAUGGUCAGUGGAGAAAACUUUCAAGUGUCUUUUAUCCGGCAAGUUUUCGUUUUCCGCAAUACGACAUCGCUGUUGUGUUUUUAAAAGAACCGUUUCGUUUCAAUAACUACGUUAAUAAGAUACCUAUGGCUUCAUAUCGCACGGAAUAUACGGGUCAAUGUCUCGUUUCAGGAUAUGGUCGAAUGGGAGCAUUUAAGUUGUCACCUAUAUUGUAUAAAGCAUAUCUACAAAUAAUACCCACUCUUAAAUGUAACCUAAUACAUCGUCAUAAUAUGAGACAUUUUGUGUGUACUUCAGCUGCUUUUUCCGACGUAGAUAAGGUACGUUUAUAUUUUAUUUUUAGCCUUUUAAAUUUGGUUUAUGUUCUUAA